rnacentral:rRNA from 1 species
GUGCCAGCAGCCGCGGUAAUACGAAGGGUGCAAACGUUGCUCGGAAUCAUUGGGCGUAAAGCGCACGUAGGCGGCCUUGCAAGUCGGAUGUGAAAUCCCACGGCUCAACCGUGGACGUGCAUCCGAAACUGCUCGGCUCGAGUAUGGAAGAGGGUCGCGGAAUUCCCGGUGUAGAGGUGAAAUUCGUAGAUAUCGGGAGGAACACCAGUGGCGAAGGCGGCGACCUGGGCCAAUACUGACGCUGAGGUGCGAAAGCGUGGGGAGCAAACAGGAUUAGAUACCCCCGUAGUCC